rnacentral:rRNA from 1 species
UACGGAGGAUGCGAGCGUUAUCCGGAUUUAUUGGGUUUAAAGGGUGCGUAGGCGGUCCGUUAAGUCAGCGGUAAAAUUGCGGGGCUCAACCCCGUCGAGCCGUUGAAACUGUCAGACUUGAGUUGGCGAGAAGUACGCGGAAUGCGCGGUGUAGCGGUGAAAUGCAUAGGUAUCGCGCAGAACUCCGAUUGCGAAGGCAGCGUACCGGCGCCACACUGACGCUGAGGCACGAAAGCGUGGGGAUCGAACAGG